AAUAACUUCAUUUAAAUGUUUUCCCCCUUUUUAAGCAGGUCUUAGAUGAGGUGUGUGUAGCAGUUGUUGAAACUCCUAUUACACACACACACACACACACACACACACACACACACACACACACACACACACACACACACGACUCGCACACUAACAAAUCACAAAAUCAUUGCUUUACUUUUAAGGAAUAAAACCAGACCAGAAUAUAAGUGAUCUGUUUGAUCUACUUUCCUCCUUUCCAUGGCUGUUCGGGCAUCUAGAUUCCCAGAGACAAGUCUUUCUAGCACCAGAUCCAGCCCUGCUUUUGGCCAAACACUUUUACAUGUGAGUUACGGUCACCAACACAGAGAAGCUGUUAAAGCACUCGGAGAAAAGCUGGCAGUAUAUAAAGUCCAAUUUCCAUAAGCCAGCCCUUAAAUUAGACUUUUGGUGCUGUGUUAAGUGAAACCUGAAGGUGUAUGCCAGGCCGGAGCCAAGCAGCUCAGAAAGAUAUACUGUGACAUCAAAGCUGUUCUUUACACCCUACAAAACCUCACAAAUGUUGAAAAAUCCAAGGAUCUCAGCACUGUAGGAUGGCGCAUAAAAUCUUUUUAUCCCCUUUAGGGUGUGUGUUCUGUGUGUGUGUGUGUGUGUGUGUGUGUGUUCUGUGUAUGUGUGUUCUGAGUGUGUGUGUGUGUUCUGAGUGUAUGUGUGUGUGUGUUCUGUCUCUGUGUGUAUGUUGUGUGUGUGUGUGUGUGUGUGUGUGUUCUGUCUCUGUAUGUGUGUGUGUGUUCUGAGUGUGUGUGUGUGUGUCUCUGCGUGCGUGUGAAGAAAACAGAGUCCCCUUCGCUGGGAUAAUAUCUUGGCUCCAGCUUGUACAUAUUAGAUGAAUGGCUCUGAAAGCCCUCUCUAGGUUACAAGAUUAAUUGCCAGUGUCUUGAACAGGAUUUAUGAAUUAUGACGGUAUUCUUGAAAAGAAUGUGAAAGUUAAUUUGUCAUGAAAUCCAAUCACACGAGAGAAGGCAUGGUGUAGAGGACCGGACCCACAGUGAAUGAAUUCCCUUUGCAUCAGCUGAGUACAUGUAGAGAAAUGUUAACGCAAGUGUCCGAAUACAACAGGUAUUUCACCUUACAGUGAAAUGCUUACUUACAGGCUCUAACCAAUAGUGCAAAAAAGGUAUUAGGUGAACAAUAGGUAAGUAAAGAAAUAAAACGACAGUAAAAAGACAGGCUAUAUACAGUAGCGGGACUAUAAAAGUAGCGAGGCUACAUACAGACACCGGUUAGUCAGGCUGAUUGAGGUAGUAUGUACAUGUAGAUAUGGUUAAAGUGACUAUGAAUAUAUGAUAAACAGAGAGUAGCA
rnacentral:lncRNA from 1 species